rnacentral:rRNA from 1 species
GUGCCAGCCGCCGCGGUAAUACGGAGGGUGCAAGCGUUGUCCGGAUUUAUUGGGUUUAAAGGGUGCGUAGGCGGCUGUUUAAGUCAGUGGUGAAAGACUCCGGCUCAACCGGAGCAGUGCCAUUGAUACUGGACAGCUUGAGUAUUGGAGGGGUACAUGGAAUUGAUGGUGUAGCGGUGAAAUGCAUAGAUACCAUCAGGAACACCGAUAGCGAAGGCAUUGUACUGGCCAAUAACUGACGCUGAUGCACGAAAGCAUGGGUAGCGAACAGGAUUAGAUACCCUUGUAGUCC